AUUGAACGCUGGCGGCAUGCCUUACACAUGCAAGUCGAACGGCAGCACGGACUUCGGUCUGGUGGCGAGUGGCGAACGGGUGAGUAAUGCAUCGGAACGUGCCAUUGAGUGGGGGAUAACGUAGCGAAAGUUGCGCUAAUACCGCAUAUUCUGUGAGCAGGAAAGCAGGGGACCGCAAGGACUUGCGCUCUUUGAGCGGCCGAUGUCAGAUUAGCUAGUUGGUGAGGUAAAGGCUUACCAAGGCGACGAUCUGUAGCGGGUCUGAGAGGAUGGUCCGCCACACUGGAGCUUAGACACGGUCCAGACUCCUACGGGAGGCAGCAGUGGGGAAUUUUGGACAAUGGGGGCAACCCUGAUCCAGCCAUGCCGCGUGAGUGAAGAAGGCCUUCGGGUUGUAAAGCUCUUUCGGCCGGGAAGAAAUCGCAUGGGCCAAUACCCUGUGUGGAUGACGGUACCGGAAUAAGAAGCACCGGCUAACUACGUGCCAGCAGCCGCAGUAAUAC
rnacentral:rRNA from 1 species